AGCGAGGAGGGCAGAAGGAGAAGAGGACCAGAACAGGUUAACCUUCCCUGCAUGGGGAGUUCACCAGCCCUGACCUGCGGGGUGGGAGAGGGAGGGAAUUGGCAAGGGAAUAAGGAGGACCAGGAUGGAGGCUGGAGGAAAGGGGCUGGGUGGGUGAGUGCAAGAAACAGGCGAUGAAGAAUAAGGGGAGGGGAAGGGGCUGACACAGAGCAACAAGGAGGAGAGAGGCGAUGAGGCAGAGGUGCUGGAGAGGAUGGGGGGGACAGGUGGCAUGUCGGGGGCAAGAGGGAGAAAGGGAGAUGGGUCAGCCUUUGCGCACAAAGCUUGGGUGGUGAAGGGGAUUGGCAGGUAGGUUAAUGACCUUAAGUUUGGUGGUGAGGAAGGGGAAAUGUGUGGGGGGUUUGUGUGGGAGGAGGCGACUCACCUUCCUUAGAAAGAUGAGAAGCCCCAAUAGCUGUGGAAUGCUAAAUUUCCAUCCUGCCUGCCCCCUCCAGGGGCAAGUGGAAGCAAAGAUGAGAACAGAGAGAAGCACUCUUCCUCUGGGGUUCAACAGUUGCCACCUGGGGCAUCUCUCUCUCUCUCUCUCUCUCUUGUUCUCUCUCUCUCUCUCUCUUUCAUAUGUCAUGUGUGUCUUUCUCCAAGGAAGGCGAAAUGCAUGCGCAGUGUCCCCAUCCCUCCCACCCAGCCAAACCAACCGGGGGUUUCUUAAAGAGGUCCCAGCUGCUACCACCCCUGUGGGCACUUCCUGACAUAAUGCACCUGUGGACCCGUGACCUCACUGAGGGAUCCAAUGCAUGACCCCCCCCAAAAAAAAUAUUGCCUCCCCCCACUCCAAAAUACAAGAUGGACACGCUGUAUGCGCAUUGGAACGAUUCAUGUGCGUGCACACACGCCUCGGGGGCCACACCCACCCAAGGGAUUCCCAUCCUCAGAUAUACACCAACCUCUUUUGAAAACACUAUUGGGUUCUUCUCUCAGGGAAAAGAAAGCACACACACACACACACACACACACACACAGGAAGAGUCCCCCAGGACUGGUCAAGGAGGAAAAAAAUUUGCAUGUGAGGGAGCUGGGUGUGGGUGUGUGGGGGAACAGAAAGACUGAGAAAGCGGUUCUUAAGGUUAUUCGUCACAGAUCGCCUUCCGUUGUGUGCAUGGAUAACUACUGUUUGUGUGCAGUAGGGUGAGCCGGAUUUGGCAAGUUGAAAGCAAUAGGAAUUACGUGGCACAAGUUCCGUAUAACAAGGAGAGAGGGGUGUGUGUGCCAUGCCACAUGCGUGUGCCAUGAAUCAAUCCAUUGUGCACCACGGAGGCAGCGUGCUUGAAAGGGGCAGUUUGGCAGAGGUCUGUGAGUGCGCAGAGAGAGGGUAUUGUUUGCGGAGAGGAUGGCGUGGUUUGCGGGCAGUGGUAUCGAUGUCAAGGUGAAUGCAUGAAAGAGAUCUCUGUGCGGGGAAACAUGUGUGAGCCUGUGUGUGCCCGGGGUGUGAGUGCGAAGGAGCGGGCAGGCGUGUUUGCUGUGCAUGCCAUGGCUGCAAAUGUUCAAAUCCUUGGUAUUCCUUUGGACAGAACAUGCUCACAUAACACAGACCCCAAGCAAAAGUAUCUGUUGGGGAGUUGGACCCUGUCUCUGCCUGGAGUGUCUGCAUCAUAGCAUGUUUGGAAGAUGGCUUGUAUCCAGCACAGUCUUGGGCUGAAGGAAGUUUGGUGUAUGUGUGCCCAUUUGUGUGUGUGUGUUGUGCAUACAUCAUGAAUUGGCUGUAGAGGGAUUUGUGUAUGUGGUUGCUGGCUUUGGGGGGCUGGUGGAAUUACCUGCAGAUGGUUGGGGUUGUCCAUUAGAUGUACUUUUUGGAAAACACAAAUGUGCUGGUGCAGGUGUCUCUCCUAUUAUAUCACAGAGCCAUUCGUGAUGUGGCUUUUGGCUCACCUCGCCCAACGCCUGCGCCCAGCGACAGCAACAAGAAACACACCCUGACCAGCCCUGAUCAGUGUCCCUCGCCUAACCUAGCGAGUCUCCGUGGGGCUGCUCCCUGUGGACUUCUCAAAGGCCACCAAGGACUGUUUCACAUGAUGGCUGCAGUCAGGUGCCCACCGCUUCUUUCGGCUUGUGGGUCAGCCGAUGUGCUCGCCCCGAGCAGAUGCUGCCACUUUCUCAUGUCGCCUCAGAUCAACACCCGUUGGCAGCAGACGAGGCAGACAGCUUGCCACAAAAUCAGGGGCUGAAGCAGCGGCCACGAGAACCACAGUUGUGGAGACUCAGCCUGAGCAAGCUUCUGGUUUUCAGUGAGGAGGACAGUCUGUGCCUUGGUGGGCUGGGGGGGGGGUGGUCCUCUCACACAAGGGCUGAGUUCAACAGGGCCCCAGAGCCUCUCUUGAACUUUCUGGGCCAGCACAUUUCCCUGACUUGAAGCCUACCCAGAGACUGAGCCGGCCAGAGGAGUCAGCCCCCUGACUGCAUUGAAAUCCACUUCACCAUUUGCAGCAGCAGGGGGACAGGCGCAGUUCUGUGUCCUCUGGCAUAUGCUGGAACAUUCCAGAAAUGUAGGCCCAUCCCUUAUCCAGAGUGUAAGGGAGUCUCUCUGGAAUCUUAGCAGGAACUAAGGCCCAAAAUGCAGAAAUGCCAAGAGCACAGCGGGUACAGGCUGAAGCUGUCCCACCUAUAAUAUGCUACCCAAUAUUGAGGUUGAAACAUCCCAGUGGCUUCUCCUUGCCGACCCACUUUCCGCAAACUUCUCAACUGGCGCUUAUCGAAAUGGAGAUCAGGCCCAGGCUUUUCUCCAAAUUGAAAGCAUCCUUUAGGAAACUUUCUAAGAAUGGCGCCCUUCAGAACUUCCUAAUUUCCCACAAUAGUUCUUUUAAUUAAAUGUGUCUUGCCUA